CUGCCAGUAUUUAGUAGUCAGGUCAGCAAACCUGUCUUGGUAGUUCCAUCACCGAAACGAGGUACCAUAUGGAUUUGUUCUCUCUUCUAGUAGAUAAUCCAGAUUGAUAUUAUCUUUCGCGUGAUUUUGUGCUGAUGUGUGAUCCAGAAUUUGGACACAUACCCAUGUGCUAGAAGGAUCUGGUGUAGCUUGUUUAAUCAAUGCUAGACCAGUUUACAUGUACUUCUGAAUUUUUCAUCGGUUGUACUUGCAUAUUGGAAUGAAGGUGCUAAAGUUUAGCAACUCAUACAUUUUACUUAUUUAUUUCUGUAAGUUGUGCCUUUUGGAUUUUGAAAGUUGUUGAUGGUUACAAUUAGAAUUGAAGCAAUGCUACUUUCCUCCCUCCGUGAAAGAAAUGCUACUUGUACUAACUUUGUCGGGCGUUGUACUCUUUAGAUAAGUGUUGUAUCUUGCAGAUUGUUAGGAAUAUGGCUUGAAAACUUCUUUCGGGGUAAUUAGAAAAACGAACCGCUAAACUGUAUCUCAUAGAUGAACACUAAUAUUUACUGUCUCACCCGAGUGAGUUCCUAAGUAUAAACAUGCUAUGCUUGGCAUGCAGUUUUGGGGAAAAAGGAAGCAUAGCAUGUGUACAAAUUGGUUGACCUUGCAUUUUACUACUUAGUAUUUACUAUACAUCCAGAAUUGUACUUGGAAGUGUCAAAAAAUUUCAUUUAUAAUCAUCGAUAGUAAUAUUGCUAUAGAUAUAUACACACACUAAAAGUCUGAAAUAAAUUCUAGAAAAGGUACAACUAUCAUAUCUUUUGCUUUGUCCCGUAUUCAGUUUUUUAAUCUUUUCCUGGUUUGAUGUUAAUAUUUUGUUAGUUCAUAGAUGCUGCUAAUUUGUACUUCAAAAAUUUUAAACUUGAUUUUGUUUUCUCAGCAGGUCAACAAGUUUUUUUUCUCAAGCUUGUAAGUUUUGUCACAAGGAGGAGAUUGUUAGAAUGCUACAAAACUUUAAGUACAUGCAUGAUAGUAGUUGUACCGGUCAACUAGGAUGUCUUGAGGUUUCUUGUAUUCGUAGCAACAACACGAGUAUGUGGGGUGAGAUUAAGCUACGAUCUUCAAAAUCAUUGCAAGUUUGGUGAUUCUUCGAGAGAGACAUGUGGCUCUCUUUGAAGGACGCGGUCUCACAGGAUGGUGGCGAGUCUGUUAUUCACAAGACAUCUAAUAAAGCCAUCCAACAAACGGUUGUGAACAAGCAAUUUUUCUUCCUGGACAUGCCUGCAGCUGUGCGUCAAGAUCAAACCAUUUGUAUCUUAGUUUGAACAAAAGAAAUCUUAUUGUGUUAUGUAAAUUCUGUUUACCGAUGUAGUUGGAUGCUACCGAAUGGAUCUAUGAAUGUUGAAAUAUUGAAUUUUUUUG
rnacentral:lncRNA from 1 species